UAUGGAGCUUUCCAGGCUAGGGGUCUAAUUGGAGCUACAGCUGCUGGCCUAUGCCACUGCCACAGCAAUGCCAGAUCUGAGCCAUGUCUGCAACCUACACUACAGCUCACAGCAAUGCCAGAUCCUUAACCCACUGAGCGAGGCCAGAGAUUGAACCUGCAACCUCAUGGUUCCUAGUCAGAUUCAUUUCCACUGCGCCACAAUGGGAACUCCUCCACCUGUUUCUUAAUAAAACCUGCCCCUACCUAUAAUUUGAAAAAGUUAAGCAUUGCAUACUUUGGGGUUAAUUGUGCUGAGUCAGAGUGUUGGUUUUACUUCUAACAGGUUCAAAAAGGAUUUCUGAGAAAAGAUGGGGGGAAAAACUUUCCUAAACAUCUUAGUGAUGCUAGAAAGAUGUGACCGGAAUGUGGGUUCUUGUUCACACAGUUGAAGAAUGAACUCCACGAACAUACAGACAGCAAGCAAGCAAAGUCUUUAUUACAGGAAACCAAAUAGCUCCCAGGGCUGCUGGGAGGGAGGAGAAGAGCCCCCUUCUCUAUUGUCCUAUAGGGGUUUUUAUCCCUUAAAGAAGGGGGGGGUACCAAUGUGGGGUCCAGAAAGAUGUGGUUUUCUCCCAUUGGCCUUGCCCAGUUACCUAUAUCAGUCCUUGUCCAAUAGGGGUUUUAGGGGUGGAAACGUCCCAUAAGUUUUCUGGUUUCUUUGUCCUUCUCUUUCCUUAGUCACCAUCCUUCUCAUUCCUUUUCUGUCAGUUGAGUGGAGUAGGGAUUAAGGUCCAUGUGGGGGGAGGCACAUUUCCGUGGUGAACAAGGCCUGUGGGGAAUUACUCUCUGGAGCCCUUAAACCACGGAUGUUAAUCAAUGGCCAUAUCAAAGAAUGCAUCGAAGCCCCUGCUCCUACACUGACUACCUGAGGUAGCAUUCUGCCUCAUUAGCAUAGAGGAAAAACCCCCAAACACUCAACCUUAGUUCUUAUGUUUUUGUUUUUUCUACUCAAUAACUGUUUCACUUUGGACUUCUAGCCUUUUGACCCUCACUUUCAUCACCUGUAAAAUAGGCUCAUAAUACGUAUUUUACAGGGUUAUUUUGUGUGUUUAUUGUACUUAAUAUGAGGUGACUGUAUGGAAAUUGACACUUAAAAGCUGGUAGCUAUCAUUUAUUACUCUUGUUAUUUUUAGGAUUUCAUGUCGGUAGUCAGAGAUUAAAUUGAUUUGCAAUGUAGCAAUGCCAAGAAAGUAGUUUUUAAAAAUAGAAAUGUAUCCUUUCUUUUGAAGCGUUUGACAUUGAAGUGAGUUAUCAAAAAGAUGUUUUGAAAUUUCUUCCCCUAAAGGUCUUGAAACUAGGUCACAUUUGAUGGGGGAAGAGUUGGCUUGUCUUAGAUGACUAAACUAAAAAUUCUUUCCCAUUUGGAAGUUUAGUGACUUUAUCCCUGGCCUGAUGGACACAGAAAAUGGAUGUAAGUGACACAGAUGAAAGCAAAGGGCUAACAAUUGCUCUCCGUUUACCAAUUUCUAGUGUUUGUAAAGUGGUUCCUAGAGUUAUCUCUUAGUAGCAGUAAUAAUGCUUUUAACUUCUAUCCCAUAAUCAUCUUCCAGCAGUUUUAAAACAUUUUCUGUAAUAGCUAUUAAGUUAGUAGACAUUUCAGCUGGCUAGACUCUGUCUGGGUUGGUAAACAGUUUGUCCGGGAUAGAGAGAGGGGCCAGGCACCUGAGUCAUUUUGGAUUGUUCCGUCCACAGCAUAACCACUCAACAUACAUGCAGUUUCCCCUUUCACUCCAUUUGACUUCAACUUGUAAUUGGGAAAAGGGAAAAGUAAUAUUUCUAAUAAUGAAGAAAAUUGCCUUAUUAAAGUCUUUUUUUUCUUUGUUCCUGUGGAAAAGCAGAGGGAACUGUAUUUGGUCUUUGACCCCUCUCCUGAUACAGAGCUUGGGAUUUCCUAAAGGAAGAGAGCAAUAAAGGUGUCUUUUGUUAUGUUAAUGAGAUGGCUUUUGAAAAGCAUCCAAAGAUGGGGAUGCUGGUUGCCAGGGGAACCAACUCUGUAAUUAGAGGAUGAGACCUUCCAGUCCCACCCCCUAACUUCCUUGGGAGGGGAGAGUGGUGGUGACUUCAAUUACCAAUGGUCCAGGAUUUCAUCAAUCCUUCCUACGUAAGGAAGCCUCCAUAAAAGCUCCAAAGAGCCCCAUUCAGAGAACUUCCUCACUCAAGGGGAGAUGUUGCAGACUGGUGUUCUCAGAGAGGUGCAAGCUUCAUGAGACCCAUCUGGCUGUUCCUGAGUUAUAUCUGCUGUAAUAAACAGGUAAGUAAAAUAUUUAUCUGAGCUCUGUGAGCUGCUCGAGCAAAGCAGUCUAAUCUGAGGAGGGGGUCGAGGGAACCUCCAAUUAAGAAGCUGUUGGUCAGAAGCCCAGGUGACAACCUGGGCUUGGAAUUGGCGUCUGCAGCCAGGAGGUGGGGGCGGGGGAAUCUUGUGGGCCUUGAGCCUCUAACCUGUGACACCUGAUGCCACCGCCAGGGAGAUAGCAUUAGAAUUGAGUGGAAUUGUAGGAUACUUAGCUAGUGUCAGAGGAUUGUCUGGUGUGGGGGGAAAAACCCCACACAUAUUGGGAUUGGGUGUAGAAUCUUAGGGACACACUGAAACAUGUAGGGAUUCACACUGGAUUCGCCUGUUGUUUAAAAAAAAAAAUGAACUGAGUGAAUUUUAAAGGUCUUCUUGGCGUUCUUCAACAACUUAUAAAUCAGGCAGCAUCCAUUCUGGCAGAAGGAAUGGAGUUCCAAAGAUCUCUACAAAAUGAAAAGCUUUUAAGGCAGAAGGGAGCAGUUCUAAAGAAGUGAAACUGGGCAAUAAUGUGGGUUGGUUAUUGCAAGGUUAUUCUCCUUUAGAAGAUGGCAGGGGCCUGUGAGGAUGAUUUCCUACCCUGUGCUUAUCCAGGGGUUUCUGAUUGGUUAACAAUUCCACUUCUGGCAGAGCCAGAAACUGUCUCAGCUUGGUAACAUUGGGCUUAGCAUAAGCAACUCCAUUUUAAGCCUAUCAUCUUUAACACUAAUCAGUGUGUUUAAAAUGCUGAACAUAUGCUGUUCUUUUUUUCACUGCUUGCUUCACAUGAAUAUGCCCUAACUCCUGAUAGGAUUUUAUGUGUUCUGUGGUUUUGAAUAUGUAGUAAGAAUUGAUAAAUAUUCAUUGAAAUUAAAUUAGUACUAGGAAUACAUUAAUAUUUCUAAAAAAUAUGGGGCAGAAAUAACAUACACCUGGCUGCCUAUGUCAUUACCUGUAUGCCCCAUUCUCUUUUUAGAAUUUAUGCCUUAGGAAGUCACUAAAUAUUAAAUACAAAAGCACACACUAAAUUAGAGUAACAUAUUGAUGAAUGAUCUAGAAAACAGCUUUAUUCAGUUGUAAACUCCACUUAAUAGCUAGGUAAAUAUAUCCUAAAAAAAGUGGGAUUAAGAAAUCUUUACCUCUGGCUGAUUAAUUUAAAAUUUAAAUACCACUGGCUCUCAAGACUGAGUUCCAAAAUUACGGGUUUAUCCUCAAGAAUAUUAACAUUUUAUUAACUAGAAACGUAGUAAUGGGUGAAAUUGACUAAUUUUGACUCUGCGAUAAUUCCAGAUUUGUGACAGGGUCACCCCAAUAAAAAUUGCAGGACCCCUGUUAGGAGAAAAGGCCUUGUUAAAUGCAAUCAAGAACAGUGAACAUAUUUGAGGCAUGCUAUUAGGUACUUUAACGUAUUUCCUUACAAUAUGUAAAUGGAUGCUGGUCAUUUCAAGUGAAUGUCACCUAUUCAAAGAAGGCAAACAGAAUCCAAGGAGUACUUUGAUGUAAAGAAAGUGUGGCUUCUAGGAACAUAGAAAUAAUCAAAUUCUAAAAUGUUAUGUAGACUUCAGUAAAGUGGCCUUCUUAAGAUUAGUCCUCUUCUUUUGAUAUCAGACAUUUUAAAGAACCCAAAUCAGCCUUGUGAACCCAAACUAAGGACAUACAACCUUUUGAUGACUGCGGCAUGGUUGUUGAGUAAAUUACUACUAAUGAUAAUGAUUCCAGUGACCUGUUAUACUUGUCCUCUGCUAGGUCUUGUUUUAAGUGUAUUAAGUGGUUUAUUUUCUUCUCACACUUACCCUAUGGUGGAAUGCUUUGCCAUACCUGUUGGACAGGGAAUGGCACAGAGGCUUGGAGAGUUGAAGUGACCUGCCUUGGUCAUACCUCGCUAAGUAGCAAUGGGGUCAGACCUCGGGUGUGUCUGGCUGUAGAGUGCACCUUGCUACCAUUUGGCUUUAACUACUCCAUGGAAAUCUUCCCUCUCAUUUUUAGCUCUUCCCCGCCAACCCCCACUGUGAAGUAUUACACAGAAGUUCUGAGAACAAACGAGUGCAAGUUACACAAUAUAGGUUUUAGAAAUAAUGUGCAAAACCCAUCCAGGACCUCUUAAUUCCGUCAACCACAAGCCCUGCCCAGCCCAUUGGCUCUCUUCUCAUAUCCAGAAGCUGCUGCCUCCUUCUGACUCAACGUGGCAGGAAAAAGAGGCAGUUUCUCUCUAGUGCGUCUCGGGUCUCUUUUGGCCACUCAGCCCUGGCGUGAGUUCCCAACUUCCCAGGUGAACCAGCCAGCUUGUUCUUGAGAGGAGAGAACUUGUAGCUUUCUCUCAGGGGACCCCCAGUAUUAAUGGUACCGUCUCCUCCACUGAUCUGCUGUAUGGAUAACUACGUUGAUCUUUUAUUCCUGGUAUUUGUUCCUUACUCUCUUGGGCCUCAGAGCAGCAGCACAUAAUUACUGAGACUCCCAUAGUCUUCUUAUUUCACUUUGCUAUUUUGGAGAAAUCCUGGUCCUUACCAUCACGAAGGACACUGACUGUACAGAGGUGCUCUUGUCCCUGUCUUUGGGGUGGUGAUGGAAUUACAUUUGGGUUCCUGGCAGCCUUGCCUUUGAAGGUAAUGGACCAUUCAGUGGCACUGUCUGUAUCUGUGUAGAGCCGACUUCGGAUGUGGGAGUUGACUCAGUUUCUCUCUCUCCACUUUUUCUUCAGACGUGGAAUCGAGUAUUAAAAUUUUAUUUCUUCUUACUGAGUCAUAGAGGCAGAAAUCCCCUAGAGGAGACUCAGUGCCUUUCACCUUUUUACCACCAACCACUCAAGCCUCCCCCUUGGCCUGAAACCUAGGGGGGUGGCAACUUCUGUUCCAGUAUCUAAGUGAAGCUCAGGAAGGCUUUUCCAUGUGCCUGUUUUUCAGGAUGCCUGUUUAGGAGUUGUUUAAUUCAAUGGGCAUUGGCUCAAGCGGUUCCUGUUAUAAAAUCUCCUAGUAUUCAAAAACAAUUAGGUUGUAAAAAAAAAAAA
rnacentral:lncRNA from 1 species